rnacentral:lncRNA from 1 species
CACAUACUCAGAACUGAGGAGCAGGUCCCUUUUUCAGGUAUGAAGGUUACAGCUGCUGUGUAGUUACAACACCUAACAUUCACAAUACUUCUACCUCCUUUUCUUACAAAGUUUUUCAGGAGGAAGAAAAAAAUUCAGAUUUGCAUGAAGGAAUAAAAAGUACCUAAAUGGUAAGUAUGUGGGCAAAUAUAAAAAACUGUCCAUGUUUGGCAUUGAAUGCAAAAUUAAAUGUAUUGUGG